rnacentral:rRNA from 1 species
UGAGUACGAGAUGCUACGGCAUCGAAGCAGUCUAUGUCAUACUUCCAAGAAAAGCUUGCACUGUCAGAAACAGAUAAUGCCUGUACCAUAACCGACACAGGUGGGUAGGUAGAGUAUACUAAGGGGCGCGAGAUAACUCUCUCUAAGGAACUCGGCAAAAUGACUCCGUAACUUCGGGAGAAGGAGUGCCUUAUUUUUAAGGUUGCAAUAACAAGAUCCAAGCAACUGUUUACCAAAAACACAGGUCUCCGCUAAGUCGUAAGACGAUGUAUGGGGGCUGACGCCUGCCCAGUGCCAGAAGGUUAAAGAAGUCGGUUAGCAUUCGCGAAGCUGGUAACUGAAGCCCUGGUGAACGGCGGCCGUAACGAUAACGGUCCUAAGGUAGCGAAAUUCCUUGUCGGGUAAGUUCCGACCCGCACGAAAGGCGUAAUGAUUUGGAUACUGUCUCGGAGAGGGGCUCGGUGAAAUAGACUUGUCUGUGAAGAUGCGGACUACCUGCACCUGGACAGAAAGACCCUAUGAAGCUUUACUGUAACUUGAAAUUGAAAUUGGACUUUAUUUGCGCAGUAUAGGUGGGAGGCGUUGAAAAUAUUCUUGCGGGAAUAUUGGAGCCAUCAGUGAGAUACCACUCUUGUAAUGUUAGAUUUCUAACUUUAUAUCAUUAUCUGGUUAAAGAACAGUUUCAGGCGGGCAGUUUGACUGGGGCGGUCGCCUCCCAAAUGGUAACGGAGGCGCACAAAGGUUUCCUCUGAACGGGUAGAAAUCGUAUCUAGAGUGUAAAGGCAUAAGGAAGCUUGACUGUGAGACCUACAAGUCGAGCAGGGACGAAAGUCGGUCUUAGUGAUCUGACGGUGCUGAGUGGAAAGGCCGUCACUCAACGGAUAAAAGUUACUCUAAGGAUAACAGGCUGAUCUCCCCCAAGAGUUCACAUCGACGGGGAGGUUUGGCACCUCGAUGUCGGCUCAUCGCAUCCUGGGGCGGUAGUACGUCCCAAGGGUUGGGCUGUUCGCCCAUGAAAGCGGUACGCGAGCUGGGUUCAGAACGUCGUGAGACAGUUCGGUCCAUAUCCGGUGUAGGCGUUAGAAUAUUGAGAGGAGCCUUCUUUAGUACGAGAGGACCGAGAAGGACAUACCUCUGGUGUACCAGUUAUCGUGCCAACGGUAAACGCUGGGUAGCUAUGUAUGGAGUGGAUAACCGCUGAAAGCAUCUAAGUGGGAAGCCCACCUCAAGAUAAGUAUUCUCAUC